GUACGGGAGGCAGCAGUGAGGAAUUUUGCGCAAUGGGGGAAACCCUGACGCAGCAACGCCGCGUGGGUGAAGAAGGCCUUCGGGUCGUAAAGCCCUGUCAGGUGGGAAGAAAUGGAUGGGAGCAAACAGGUUCUGUCCUUGACGGUACCACCAGAGGAAGCACCGGCUAACUCCGUGCCAGCAGCCGCGGUAAUACGGAGGGUGCAAGCGUUAUUCGGAAUUACUGGGCGUAAAGGGCGUGCAGGCGGGAUGGCAAGUCUGAUGUGAAAGCCCGGGGCUCAACCCCGGAAGGGCAUUGGAAACUGCCGUUCUUGAGUGCCGGAGAGGAAGGGGGAAUUCCCGGUGUAGAGGUGAAAUUCGUAGAGAUCGGGAGGAAUAUCAGUGGCGAAGGCGCCCUUCUGGACGGUUACUGACGCUGAGACGCGAAAGCGUGGGGAGCAAACAGGAUUAGAUACCCGCGUAGUCCC
rnacentral:rRNA from 1 species